rnacentral:rRNA from 1 species
CCUACGGGAGGCAGCAGUGAGGAAUAUUGCGCAAUGGGGGAAACCCUGACGCAGCGACGCCGUGUGGGUGAGGAAGGCUUUCGGGUCGUAAAGCCCUGUCAGGUGGGAAGAAAUGGCUAGUAGCUAAUACCUAUUAGUUUUGACGGUACCACCAAAGGAAGCACCGGCUAACUCCGUGCCAGCAGCCGCGGUAAU